UGAGAUGUGCUCCGUUUAGGACGCCAUUUUCUUCUAAAUUAAUUGUCUCUUGCCCUAUAAGGUUGACGAUGUGGAGGAUAUGAUGCCAGCAGCCACUGUGAUAGAGAGCAGCAGAGAUGUUACUGGAUGUUCCCGUGAAAUAAAACCACAGACAAGGUGUUUCUGGCUGUUCUCCCGGGCCAUGCCUGCUCUCCUCCCCGGGAGGCCCCACCAUAUUUGUGUGUGUGUGACAGAGAAAGAGACAGAAGGAGCGAGAGGAGUUCUUUCCACGGCAUCUGCGGGGAGAUUAUACCAUCUCUACAACCCUCUCAAAUCAUCAAGACUGUCAAGAUAAGGACAAAGAGAACAUGAAGUCCUUUGACACCCCUCCAUCAGUCACAUUAAUCAAGAGCCACAAAGCAAGGUGCAAGAGAACUGCAAAAACUUUAAAUAAAGAAUCAAGGCCACUUCCUGCUCCAGGAGCGUCAUUUAUAUGCAGGAGAAAGUGCGCUUCAUUUUGUUUCUCAACUUUUCAAGUAACACUACAGUUUUCAGCGAGGCAUUUGGUUUUGACAGUGACAACUCACUCUGGGUAUACAGUAGAAACCCACUUUAUCAGCAGGGUACAACGUCUGGGGUGUAUUACAAUGACGAAAAGACCACCAGGAUGGAUUGAGCCAACAGCUUCAUAGGAAGCCUGCAGUGCUUUUGAGGGAUGAUGAACAAAGACACAAAGGAACCCACUGAGAAAGUCCUGCUCUGUAGGAAGUCUGCAACGCCUACUGUGGCCAGCAAUAGAGAGACGGAACUGAGUGAAAUAGAGAAGAAUGGAGAUGGAGGGGAAUCCAGGGGUGGAGAACAGAGAAGACAGGAAAGGGAACAGGGAGGGUGAGGAUUGAUAUGGUGAUGGAGGGUGUAGAAAAAAAAACAGGUUGUUCAAUCUGUGUGAACAUAUGGGAAACAAAUACUUUGGUGUUUAAGAUAAACCAAUUCAAACCAAUUUGUUAUAUCACCUUAAAAUACGUGAGUCUGCUAUCAGGGAUUUUUCAGGGAAUGGCCUUCACAGGCUGCUGUAGAAACGUGAAGUCAUCUCACUUUACUUCUUUGGCACUACUGCCCUCAUGUGGACAAUCCAAGUAACAUCUCAUCUAGAUUAAUGUCUCCUUUUCAAGCGGUAUUGAGUAUGUAUUAAAGUGUGUUGUUAAAAUCACAAGUCUCCACCUCACCUGCACCACCUGCACUCCUGAUUAGACCACUCCCCCAAGACUAUAAAACUCCACCCUUCGACUUGCCUUUUUCCCUCCAAACAUACCAGGUGGAACAAAGAGAGGACUGAUGUCAAAGCUGAUGUGAGUGCAUAUGUACUUUUCACACUUAGGACUGACGUUGUUGUGUUUAUUGUUCGAAGAUUCCUGAGUUUAAACUGUUGGUAAAAGAAGAAAAAAGAGUAAUGCAUUUAUGACAU